GCCGCUCGAAACUUUGCACACUUCUACGCGGUGAGUGGCAGGCAACACAGCGUGGGAGCUGUGGCUAAGAUGCAAAA
rnacentral:ribozyme from 1 species